GAGGGUGACUCAGUGGUAGCACACUUGCCUGUCAUGCAUGAGGUCCUGGGUUGGAUCCCCAGCACCACA
rnacentral:tRNA from 1 species